AAAAAAAAAAUAAAAAAAAAUAAAGGAUUAGCAUAAUAACAGAUAUGAAGACAAAAGAAAACAUUACUGCAACUGAAUUUGGACAUUUAAAUAUGCACUUUUCAGGCUAGGUAGAUGAUGUAGAACCAGUGGAGUUAUGGGAACAAGGGGGUGACAAACAAAUAGUCAAAUAAAGAAGAGAAUCAAAUUCUCAAAUCUUAUUAAUUGUCAACAAUAAUACAUAUCAUAAUAAAAUCUCCUACAAAAUAACUAGAAAACAUAGGUAUUUAUAAUACAAUAUUAAUCCUAUUACUACUAUGAUUACGGAAUUCUAAAUAAGAAAAUAUAAAUCAAACACUAAUUAAAAAUAUAAAAUCAAUUGCAUCAGUAGAUUAUCUCUCCAAGUCUAUACCUAAUAUGAGUAACAUCAUUAGUUACUUCCAAAACUAACAAUAAAAUAUCAAGCGUCUAUUUUAAUCAUUCUAGCACUAUCAACCUAUCUCGUAUGCACUUAUAUUGCACCAAACUAUUUCUUUCUUGAAAUGUGCAUAUCCUAUCACCAAUUUUUGUAGUACAAUUUUCUCUUCUUAUAACGCGACAUUUUUCACAGCCCAAUUUGAGAUGUAAUAAAUUUCAUUGUAUAUGAAGAGAAUGAUUACCCUUUAAUCCCUUUCCCCUCUUAAAAAAAUCUAGAAGCUAAACAAGGUAAGGGAGGGGGACUCCCCUCCAUUCUCCACUGAUUGAACCCUAACCAUGCAUGGUGUAAAACCUCAAUGGAAAAGUAAAGACCAAAAAGAAAAAAGAAAUCCAGAUAGUGCCACCCUCCCUUCUAUCAGUUGUUGCAUUAUAACAUACUGGCAUAAAUCAGGCUAUAACAAGUAACAACCACAUCAUCCAUUAGAGCCGGUACCAGUUGGCAUCAAAUUGACCCCUUCCUUUUUCCAUUAGAAAUUGAUUAAUUCAUUAAAAAUCGACCAAUAUUUAAAACCCUGUUAUCACUACCUUUAAUCUUAAUAAAGUAAAAUGGAAGUUGAAAAUCUUGAAGCAAGAGUUAAAGCACAAUAAAUAGACCAAAUAGAAAGAAUAUAAUAUCAUACCUGCUCUGGCCUAAGGCCAAAUACUUUACCACCAA
rnacentral:misc_RNA from 1 species